AACGAACGCUGGCGGCAGGCUUAACACAUGCAAGUCGAACGGGCGUAGCAAUACGUCAGUGGCAGACGGGUGAGUAACGCGUGGGAAUCUACCCAGUUCUACGGAACAACUCAGGGAAACUUGAGCUAAUACCGUAUACGCCCCCCUUUGGAGACAUUGGGGGGGAAAGAUUUAUCGGAAUUGGAUGAGCCCGCGUUGGAUUAGCUAGUUGGUGGGGUAAUGGCCCACCAAGGCGACGAUCCAUAGCUGGCCUGAGAGGAUGAUCAGCCACAUUGGGACUGAGACACGGCCCAAACUCCUACGGGAGGCAGCAGUGGGGAAUAUUGGACAAUGGGCGAAAGCCUGAUCCAGCCAUGCCGCGUGAGUGAUGACGGCCUUAGGGUUGUAAAGCUCUUUCACCGGUGAAGAUAAUGACGGUAACCGGAGAAGAAGCCCCGGCUAACUUCGUGCCAGCCGCCGCGGUAAAAC
rnacentral:rRNA from 1 species